rnacentral:misc_RNA from 1 species
AACCUUAUGGACCUGCGGGCGUAUACCUGCGGAAGGAUCAUUACCUAGAGUUGUAGGCUUUGCCUGCUAUCUCUUACCCAUGUCUUUUGAGUACUUGCGUUUCCUCGGCGGGUCCGCCCGCCGAUUGGACAAUUUAAACCAUUUGCAGUUGCAAUCAGCGUCUGAAAAAACUUUAAUAGUUACAACUUUUAACAACGGAUCU